UAAGGAAUAUUGGACAAUGGACGCAAGUCUGAUCCAGCCAUGCCGCGUGAAGGAUGAAUGCCCUCUGGGUUGUAAACUUCUUUUAUAGGGGAAGAAAGAUACUUUUUUUAAGGUAGUUGACGGUACCCUAUGAAUAAGCACCGGCUAACUCCGUGCCAGCAGCCGCGGUAAUACGGAGGGUGCAAGCGUUAUCCGGAUUUAUUGGGUUUAAAGGGUCCGUAGGCGGACUUAUAAGUCAGUGGUGAAAGCCUGUCGCUUAACGAUAGAACUGCCAUUGAUACUGUAAGUCUUGAGUAUAUUUGAGGUAGCUGGAAUAAGUAGUGUAGCGGUGAAAUGCAUAGAUAUUACUUAGAACACCAAUUGCGAAGGCAGGUUACCAAGAUAUAACUGACGCUGAGGGACGAAAGCGUGGGGAGCGAACA
rnacentral:rRNA from 1 species